CCUACGGGAGGCAGCAUUGAGGAAUAUUGGUCAAUGGGCGCGAGCCUGACCCAGCCAAGUCGCGUGAGGGAAGAAGGUCCUCUGGAUUGUAAACCUCUUUUGUCGGGGAGAAAAAGACGCCACGCGUGGCGUUCCGAGAGUACCCGAAGAAAAAGCAUAGGCUAACUCCGUGCCAGCAGCCGCGGUACUACGGAGGAUGCGAGCGUUAUCCGGAUUGAGUGGGUGUAAAGGGUGCGCAGGGGGAAGAUCAAGUCAGCGGUAAAAUUGAGAGGCUCAACCUCUUCGAGCCGUUGAAACUGGUUUUCUUGAGUGAGCGAGAAGUAUGCGGAAUGCGUGGUGUAGCGGUGAAAUGCAUAGAUAUCACGCAGAACUCCGAUUGCGAAGGCAGCAUACCGGCGCUCAACUGACGCUCAUGCACGAAAGUGUGGGUAUCGAACAGGAUUAGAUACCCUUGUAGUC
rnacentral:rRNA from 1 species